GGUGAACGCUGGCGGCGUGCCUAAUACAUGCAAGUCGAGCGAACAGAUAAGGAGCUUGCUCCUUUGAAGUUAGCGGCGGACGGGUGAGUAACACGUGGGUAACCUACCUAUAAGACUGGGAUAACUUCGGGAAACCGGAGCUAAUACCGGAUAACAUUUAGAACCGCAUGGUUCUAAAGUGAAAGAUGGUUUUGCUAUCACUUAUAGAUGGACCCGCGCCGUAUUAGCUAGUUGGUAAGGUAACGGCUUACCAAGGCGACGAUACGUAGCCGACCUGAGAGGGUGAUCGGCCACACUGGAACUGAGACACGGUCCAGACUCCUACGGGAGGCAGCAGUAGGGAAUCUUCCGCAAUGGGCGAAAGCCUGACGGAGCAACGCCGCGUGGGUGAUGAAGGGUUUCGGCUCGUAAAACUCUGUUAUUAGGGAAGAACAAAUGUGUAAGUAACUGUGCACAUCUUGACGGUACCUAAUCAGAAAGCCACGGCUAACUACGUG
rnacentral:rRNA from 1 species